UCCGACGCUCAAGUCAGUUCUCUGCCUCAACAAGAAUGGAGUGCUCGAACGGAGAAUUUAGCAGAGUUUUGAGAUAAGGCAAAAGAGCUUAAAAAAUAACGUAUCUGAGUCCCCCCUUUUAUAGGUGGGGGAGGCAACGGACUGAUGGCGACGUGUGUAACCGCCUGGUAGUGGGCCGCCCAUGGUCAGGAGAAUUGAUUGCGAAAGAUAAUGGAGCAGACACGUGGCCAUCGUCAUAUCCCGCCACAUAGGGCCUGUAGCAGGUAGUGGGGCGGCGUCCGUUACUGCUAGUUGUCAGCGAGUAGUGGGAUCGUGCAGCACCUGCCACGGGGAGUGGAGCAGCAUCAUAGCUGUUGACACAACCUGUCAGAGAGUAGUGGGAUCGUGCAGCACCUGUCGCAGGGGGAGGUGGAGCCGCGUGGAAUCCGCUACAGGAAGUGGAACAGGAUCAUGGCAGUUAUUGUUAUCUACCAAGGGACACAGAUCUGUUGAUCAAGGCUCGGCAGUGGUCGGAGUUCGGCCUUUGUGAGAAUCCGGGAGGAGUCUGCCUGCGGCUGUAGUCGUUGGCGUCAGGGAUGAGGUUUGGCUCCCUUAAGGCUCGGCUCCUCCAGCAAUUGGUACCGAGAGUGGAGCUCGGGCGGAGCUGCAACUGCUGUCGAUGGUGGAGCCCGGCUCCGGUAGGAGUCCGGGCGGAGCUGCACUUGCUGAUGGCGGUGGAGUCCGGCUCCCGUAGGAGUCCGGGCGGAGCUGCGUUGCAAACAAAGUCAAGGGUGAAGUCCGGCUCUGAUAGG
rnacentral:lncRNA from 1 species